rnacentral:rRNA from 1 species
UGCGUAGGCGGUUGUUUAAGUCAGAUGUGAAAGCCCCGGGCUUAACCUGGGAAUUGCAUUUGAGACUGGAUGACUCGAGUUGAGUAGAGGGGAGUGGAAUUUCAGGUGUAGCGGUGAAAUGCGUAGAGAUCUGAAGGAACACCAGUGGCGAAGGCGACUCCCUGGACUCAAACUGACGCUGAGGUACGAAAGCGUGGGUAGCAAACA